GUGUGUGUGUGUGUGUGUGUGUGUGUAUGUAUAUGUAUGUAUGUAUGUAUGUAUGUAUGUAUGUAUGUAUGUUCUGUGACCAGCUGGCCAGUCUGGGUUAGUUAUUAAGCAAACCAUAAGAUGUUUUUUUUUUUUUUGCCAGCAGGGUUAUUGGUUAUUCAGCAGAAUCAUUUUUGUGAAGGAUACAACUUAAUUUUUUUUGAGAUUUGUCAUACAUAAUUUGCACUGUUUUGUGGUUUUAUUGCAAUAUUUUAUGAAGGACUGUACAUUAGAAGGAUUUAGCAGCAAAUAUUUAAUCAUUGUGCUGCAAGCACAGCCUUAUCAUGACUUGUUUUUAAUGCUUGUGCAUGCAUGCCACAUAUUUUUAAAGGGGUUAGGGUGGUGGUCCUAUCCGUCCACAAUCCAAUUAUCACUGUAUAUGCCAUGAUAGUCAUGCAUCCGACAUGUCAGAAAUCAAAGCCAUGCAUUUUCUUGUGUUUUCUUUAUUGAAUCCAGGACACCUUGAUAGCAGCGAUUCAUUCUCCCACUGCAAAACAGUAGUGCUACAUUUUCAUUAGACAAACCAAAGAUUCUAUUAUUAUAAUGUUUAGUUAACAGAGUCAAGAGAAGCAAUAUAACUAAACUAUAAGCUUUUAGUUUAGCAAACAGUGUUUACAGUAGUUAUAUGAGUAUAUUAUUGAAGACAAGAGUUGAACUUGGUUACUAUUCAGUCAUCCUAAAUUAGAAUGGACCCUGAUAAUUCGGUUAAAAAAACUGUGAUCAAACUAUGAUAUUUAAACUGUUAUUAUGAGUGAAGCUGGUUGUUAGAGAAACAGUCCUCUGUAGCUUCAGAUCUAGUGAUGCAGAGACCGAUUUAAGAUUUGUGUCUAUAAUGAAGAUUUAGACAAGGUUUCAGUGCAAUCAGGAGAAAAAUGGAAUAUACUGUACUCUUGUGCAUAAGUUUGCUAAAUUUAGCUUGGGAAGGAAGUGUUACUAUAUCAUAUUUUAAAUAAACAGAUGAUUUUCCAUCUAAAGCA
ensembl:lncRNA